GCAAGUCGAACGAGAAAGUUCUUUUCGGAGAACGAGUAGAGUGGCGCACGGGUGAGUAACACGUGGAUAAUCUACCUUCGAGACGGGGACAACCAUUCGAAAGGAUGGCUAAUACCGGAUAAAGUAUAUGUCUAUCAAGGAUAUAUAUGAAAGGCAACCUCUGUAUAUGUUGUUGCUCGGAGAUGAGUCCGCGUACCAUUAGUUUGUUGGUGGGGUAAUGGCCUACCAAGACAGCGAUGGUUAGCUGGUCUGAGAGGAUGAUC
rnacentral:rRNA from 1 species